rnacentral:rRNA from 1 species
CAGCCGCCACGGUAAUACAGAGUGUGCGAGCGUUAAUCGGAUUUACUGGGCGUAAAGCGUGCGUAGGCGGCUUCUUAAGUCGGAUGUGAAAUCCCUGAGCUUAACUUAGGAAUUGCAUUCGAUACUGGGAAGCUAGAGUAUGGGAGAGGAUGGUAGAAUUCCAGGUGUAGCGGUGAAAUGCGUAGAGAUCUGGAGGAAUACCGAUGGCGAAGGCAGCCAUCUGGCCUAAUACUGACGCUGAGGUACGAAAGCAUGGGGAGCAAACAGGAUUAGAUACCCCGGUAGUCCCUGUCUCUUAUAA